UAUGGACCUGUGGAGACCGUUGGAUUCUGUGGGGUUUUUUCUACACUGUUGCUCUGUGACCUGCACAAGCUGUUAGAAAAAUGCAAAGAGUUAAAUGUGAUGGCUUUUGGGAGUGCCUUCCAAGCUUGGUGCAGGUAUUUCCUGCCUGACGGCUCAAAAAUGGGAUGCAGAGAAUUUAGGGGUGACCUUAUCUUCCUGUACCAUCAGCAUGCAUACAGACAUGACAUCAAAGAUGUUGUCUCAUCAUGAGAACAAGACACCAGAAAUUAGAUUCCACACUCUACAGAAGCUUUCCUGCAGAGCUCUCAUCAGGAGUGAACCAAGCCUUUUCCAGAGUGUAGCAGUUUAUAAGUCAAUAAAGCGACUCUGACUUUCCAAA